rnacentral:rRNA from 1 species
AACGAACGCUGGCGGCAUGCCUAAUACAUGCAAGUCGAACGAUCACUUCGGUGGUAGUGGCGCACGGGUGCGUAACGCGUGGGAAUCUACCCUUGGGUUCGGAAUAACAGUUAGAAAUGACUGCUAAUACCGGAUGAUGACGAAAGUCCAAGAUUUAUCGCCCAAGGAUGAGCCCGCGUAGGAUUAGCUAGUUGGUGAGGUAAAAGCUCACCAAGGCGACGAUCCUUAGCUGGUCUGAGAGGAUGAUCAGCCACACUGGGACUGAGACACGGCCCAGACUCCUACGGGAGGCAGCAGUAGGGAAUAUUGGACAAUGGGGGCAACCCUGAUCCAGCAAUGCCGCGUGAGUGAUGAAGGCCUUAGGGUUGUAAAGCUCUUUUACCCGAGAUGAUAAUGACAGUAUCGGGAGAAUAAGCUCCGGCUAACUCCGUGCCAGCAGCCGCAGUAACAC